UACGUAGGGUGCGAGCGUUGUCCGGAAUUAUUGGGCGUAAAGAGCUUGUAGGCGGUCUGGCGCGUCUGCUGUGAAAAUCCGGGGCUCAACCCCGGACUUGCAGUGGGUACGGGCAGACUAGAGUGUGGUAGGGGAGACUGGAAUUCCUGGUAUAGCGGUGAAAUGCGCAGAUAUCAGGAGGAACACCGAUGGCGAAGGCAGGUCUCUGGGCCACUACUGACGCUGAGAAGCGAAAGCAUGGGGAGCGAACAGG
rnacentral:rRNA from 1 species